AGUGCGUAACAGCUCACUAGUCGAGGGUCUGUGCGUGGAUAAUAAUCGGGUAUUAAACAUGCCACCGAAGCCGCGGGAUCAUGCUUGUGCAUGAUCGGUAGGGGAGCAUUCCAUGGAUGUUGAAUGCUUUCCGUAAGGAAAGCUGGAGUUCAUGGAAAAGCAAAUGUAGGUAUAAGUAACGAUAAAGAGGGUGAGAUGCCCUCUCGCCGAAAGACUAAGGUUUCCUGGGCAACGUUAAUCGUCCCAGGGUCAGUCGGGUCCUAAGGAUAAGCCUAACGGCGAGGCCGAGUGGAUGAAACGGUUAAUAUUCCGUUACUGGUUUAUAUGAGUGAAGCGAAGACGGGGCGGUGACACUUCCGCGUCCUUACGAAUCAGGGCGUUGAAAGGAGAAGGUGUUGAUUGCGGUAGUUAAGUACGCCGUGAGAGCCGAAUCCUGAUAGUACGAUCUUCCUAUUAGGAAGAUUGAUAGUGAAGGUAAUAGCCUCCGAGAAAAUCCGCUAAACGUUUUAAGUGUGAACCACCCGUACCGUAAACGGACACACGUAGUUGGGUAGAAAAUACUAAGGCGCUAGGGAGAUUCACGGUUAAGGAACUAGGCAAAAUAGCCCUGUAACUUCGGGAUAAAGGGUCCUGCUAAAACGCAGGCGCAGUGAAAAGGUCCAGGCAACUGUUUACCAAAAACACAGGGCUGUGCAAAGUGUAACUACGCAGUAUACAGCCUGACACCUGCCCGGUGCCGGAAGGUUAAGAGGAGGGCUUAUCAGCAAUGAGAAGGUCUGAAUUGAAGCCCCGGUAAACGGCGGCCGUAACUAUAACGGUCCUAAGGUAGCGAAAUUCCUUGUCAGGUAAGUUCUGACCCGCACGAAAGGCGUAACGAUUUGGGCGCUGUCUCAGCUGUAGACUCGGUGAAGUCUUAGUACCUGUGAAGAUGCAGGUUACCCGCGACUAGACGGAAAGACCCCAUGGAGCUUCACUGCAGGUUGAUAUUGGGAUUUGAUGCAGCAUGUACAGGAUAGGUAGGAGGCAAAGAGAUGGAUACGCCAGUAUUCAAGGAGCCGCUGUUGGGAUACUACCCCUGUUGUAUUGGAUUUCUAACCGGACGACGUAGAGCCGUUGACGGGACAGUGUCAGUCGGGCAGUUUGACUGGGGCGGUCGCCUCCCAAAGAGUAACGGAGGCGCCCAAAGAUACCCUCAGCUUGGAUGGAAACCAAGCGCAGAGUGCAAAGGCAAAAGGGUGUUUGACUGCGAGACCCACAAGUCGAGCAGGGACGAAAGUCGGGCUUAGUGAUCCGGCGGUGCUGAAUGGAAAGGCCGUCGCUCAACGGAUAAAAGCUACCCUGGGGAUAACAGGCUGAUCUCCCCCAAGAGUUCACAUCGACGGGGAGGUUUGGCACCUCGAUGUCGGCUCAUCGCAUCCUGGGGCUGUAGUCGGUCCCAAGGGUUGGGCUGUUCGCCCAUUAAAGCGGUACGCGAGCUGGGUUCAGAACGUCGUGAGACAGUUCGGUCCCUAUCCGUCGCGGGCGUAGGAAAUUUGAGAGGAUCUGUCCUUAGUACGAGAGGACCGGGAUGGACAUACCGCUGGUGUACCAGUUGUUCCGCCAGGAGCAUCGCUGGGUAGCUAAGUAUGGAUGAGAUAAACGCUGAAAGCAUCUAAGUGCGAAACUCACCUCGAGAUAAGAUUUCCCAUUACGUAAGUAAGUAAGAUCCCUGAAAGAUGAUCAGGUAGAUAGGAUGGAAGUGGAAGUGCUGCGAGGCAUGGAGCGGACCAUUACUAAUCGAUCGAGGACUUAACCAA
rnacentral:rRNA from 1 species